GCAGAGCAUCCUACGGGAGGCAGCAGUGGGGAAUAUUGCACAAUGGGCGCAAGCCUGAUGCAGCCAUGCCGCGUGUAUGAAGAAGGCCUUCGGGUUGUAAAGUACUUUCAGCAGUGAGGAAGGUGGGUAUGUUAAUAGCAUAUUCAUUUGACGUUAGCUGCAGAAGAAGCACCGGCUAACUCCGUGCCAGCAGCCGCGGUAAUACGGAGGGUGCGAGCGUUAAUCGGAAUUACUGGGCGUAAAGCGCAUGCAGGUGGUUUGUUAAGUCAGAUGUGAAAGCCCGGGGCUCAACCUCGGAAUUGCAUUUGAAACUGGCAAACUAGAGUACUGUAGAGGGGGUAGAAUUUCAGGUGUAGCGGUGAAAUGCGUAGAGAUCUGAAGGAAUACCGGUGGCGAAGGCGGCCCCCCUGGACAGAUACUGACACUCAGAUGCGAAAGCGUGGGGAGCAAACAGGAUUAGAUACCCCUGGUAG
rnacentral:rRNA from 1 species